rnacentral:lncRNA from 1 species
CGUGACAUACCACAAAAUAAAUCUACCACCAAGAAAAAAAAACAUAAGUUUUCUCAUUUCGGUCUACCAAACUUCCCACAAAUCAAAAUUGAACUUAUAAUUUGUAAUCGAGCACUACAUACAAACUAUCUCCAAAUUCUAGUCCCUCACCAUCACCCCAAUCUAGAUAUGAAAAACUCUCAAUUGUCCAUACCGUGGCUUUUUCAUGCACUCAUGCAACUCUAUAGACUAAAAGGGCCAUGUUAGCAGGGGACCUUGCCAAUUUUGUAUCCAACCGACCUAAUUAAGCAACACCAUUAAAUUUUGGGACUUGUAUCGUUGAAAACUUGGUCCCUCCUUUCUCUUUUUGGGUACUAUUGCACCAUUAUAAUGAUAAUCUAUAAGACAUU